rnacentral:lncRNA from 1 species
UCACAGGUUGUGAUUAGAGUGGCUCUCUCAGUGUCUGAUGCAGGAAAUCAUUUCUGCUCUACACUUGAAGACUUCACACCGGCGUUAUGACUACAAAAGCCUUCACCUAAGCCAGAACUGGUCAGAGAUCAGAUUAUCCAAAAUAAGAAGCAAGAAAAUAAUUUCAAGUGACAUUGAAAAUUGAAUAAUUUGUCUUUUGGAAGCCAUUUGAGAAUCAGAUGAAGACAGACACCAAAAUGUCAAUGCCUCAGAUUUAAAAAGCAUGAGGAUAUAUUUUAGUCCCA